rnacentral:rRNA from 1 species
UACGGGGGGUGCGAGCGUUGUCCGGAAUCACUGGGCGUAAAGGGCGCGUAGGUGGCGUCGUAAGUCUGUGGUGAAAGCCCGGAGCUCAACUCCGGGUCUGCCGCGGAUACUGCGAGGCUUGAGUGCUGUAGAGGGGGGUAGAAUGCCGGGUGUAGCGGUGGAAUGCGUAGAGAUCCGGCAGAAGACCGGUGGCGAAGGCGGCCCCCUGGGCAGUAACUGACACUGAGGCGCGACAGCGUGGGGAGCGAACAGG